GACGUAGGGGGCCAGCGUUGCUCGGAAUUACUGGGUGUAAAGCGUGCGCAGGCGGUUAUGUAAGACAGGUGUGAAAUCCCCGGGCUUAACCUGGGAACUGCAUUUGUGACUGCAUAGCUAGAGUACGGUAGAGGGGGAUGGAAUUCCGCGUGUAGCAGUGAAAUGCGUAGAUAUGCGGAGGAACACCGAUGGCGAAGGCAAUCCCCUGGACCUGUACUGACGCUCAUGCACGAAAGCGUGGGGAGCAAACAGG
rnacentral:rRNA from 1 species